ACACACACACGCACGAUAACACACACUAAACUGAGAUUGUCAACAACUUUAUCCCUGCUGAACAUUAACAUGGCAGCAUUGUUGAAACCCAAUUCCAGACUCCACAGUAGCACUUCAGAAACAUUUGUGGGAUGUCACACCUCACAGUUAAAAACUAUGUGUGUGUUUCUAACAUUUAUCAGAAUGUGUGAUACUUUACUUAGAUAAUAUUAUUGAUGAAAAGUGGUUCUGCACUUUAACAAGAGAUUAACCAGUUUGUUUGGUUUGGUUAGCCAGUUUGUACAUAACACAACUCUUCUUCUAGUUUUGUCUAGACUUGUAAACAUUAAAUAUACUGUCUGAGAGGGAAAACCAGAGAUGAGCAAGAUUAGUAAGCAUGGACUGGGUUUUUCCCCCAAAAUCUCUUCAUCUGCCUACGCCCUUCUAAUAAGAAAACAAAAAAUACAAACAGACUUUUAUUCUCUGCACACAGCGUUACCUGCACUUUGAAAAACUGUGACUGGGCUUCAGAAAAUAAUAAUAUUGACAGUAUACACACUUAAAAUAUUAGGGGAUCUAAUAACCAGAACCUGCGUUUCCUACACAACAAAACAAAAUGACAAAAUAGGUUGUUUGUCGUGUCACCUUUGAACAUCCAUAUGUGUUAGAAAAAUGAUUCAAAUGUUUAGUUAACAAUCAACUGUAGUUAGUUAAGUUGGGGAAAGAUCAGAGUAAGAGUUUGGAAGAAACUACUUGGUUAAGGUGUUUACUUUGUUCUGUAUCUGUAUAUUAUUUAUUAAGCUUUGACACCAUGAACCUUGUAUUUAAACAUAAAUGUGAACAUGCUGUUAGCAAACUAGGAAAUUUGUUAAAUUUACAAAGAUAAUACAAAUAAUGAAACAUUGCAGAAUUCACAGUAACAAUGUGAACAGUUACUGAGCCAUUUAGACGUCUAGUACUUUGGAUCAAACAAAUAUACUGAACUGUUGCGGUGGCAGCCCGGCUGACGGUGAGUGCCCUGUGCUCUUUUAUUUCUUUUUUACUUCGUCUCGCAUUUCUGUUUUCUCCCCCGUGUCUCCUCGCCUCUCCCUCUGUGUGUGCGCUCUCUCCCUCUCCGCCCUGGAGCCCGGCUGAUGACCCGCACCUGUGUCUCGUCAACCUCCACCUCCGCCCGCCGCACCUGCCUGCCAUCAGCCUCAUCUUCAACAGUAUUUCUACCCCGGUUCUCCAUCUUCGCUUGAUCGUCGUCGCUCCAGUCCUGGUCCACUCACCUCCGCCAUCCAGUCAGUCAGCCGGGCUCGCCUACCUGCCUUCUCCCCCGCCUCGGCCUCCAGCCUCCUCUCAGUCGCCUCGCUCGAGCCUUGCCAGCCCCGCCUGCUCCUCGGCCUUCCGUGCCCACGUCUGCCGGCGUCCAGUUUACCUCAUCUCACCUCCCGACUCCCCUCUUCCCUUUUUUCCCCCUCAAUAAACCUCUUUUGUAAACUGACAA